rnacentral:misc_RNA from 1 species
AGUGUUUCAAGUUGAAGCCGAAUCUAGAAUAGAAAAAUGACAUCACAAUACAAACUGUUUUAAUACAAAGAAAAUAACUCUCUAAUCAUUAAUUACAUUCAUUAGAUGAAACAAUUUUCUCCCCUUACAAUUCACAGAACUCGUUAGCAAAAAAAAAGAAAAAUAAAUAAUCACCCAAAAACUAUUGAUUUGUGUUCUACUCUUUAGGCAAUUUGCGUAACAAGAAAGGAGGUACCUCCAGUAAGAGAGCGUAACAUCUCAUUUAAACUCCGAAGGGUCACACAUCCCUCGCAUAGUCUUUUACUCCAUUCAAACAACACCAAUGACAACUAAGUCUCAAUCCCAAACUAUAGAUCCCUUUUCACCAUUUAGCUCUGUAAUACUCCAUUCGAACAGAUUGCUAAAUUAGACACAGGUAGCUUAAACAAUAGAACAGCCAAUAAAGGUUGCUCACAGAAUCAGAAAUUUAUUUGGUCCAGAAUUGGAAUUAGAGCCUGCUUAUGACAAUAUGAUAGCAUAAAACAGAAAAUUGGAGCAGGCUUCAAAACCAUAUAUGCCACCUUGAUGACACAUCUAUCAGAUGAGUAGGUAAGAGAUCCAAUUUGAAAAUCUAAGGUUAAACUCAUAAACCCAUGCCAAAAAAGAAGGUAUUUUGAACCAAUACCCGUAGUUGUUAGUUUUUGUAGCUAAAGAAAAUUAUGUUUGCUUCCUAUUUAAUAUUUUUCAAGAAUUUUCUUUAUCAUGAUUACAAAUCCUAAUAGGUUAAGAGGUAGUCAAAGUUUCUAAAAAAUACAUUUGAAACCAAAUUAUUUUCUCAAUCUGUGAUUAUGUAAUAUUAUGAUUAUCAGAGGUAUACAAGCAUAUGGUGAUUUUGCUCUCUCUCUCUUUCUAUCCCCUCCUCACACACAUUCACCCAUCCCCUCUCAUUCUUCUCUGACUCUUAUCUUCUUCUUUCUUAUUCUUCUCUCAAUAAUUGUUGUUACAGUGUAUUGGGUUAUGAAGCUCCCAUUAGUUUGCAUUAUUCUUUCUGAUUGCAGCUGUGCAUCUUCGGUGCAAGGCACAAAGGAUGAAGUACUUUUUAGCCCUAGCCCCAAGGUCAGCUCAUUCACCUAGGUGCACAUGAGGCAACUAGGUGUCCAUCUCAUGUUGGAGCCUUAGGCACAAAAAUGAGUGCCUGCUGUCCAAGCAAAUAGAUGUGUUAUAUUUAAACUCUUAUCUUCAUGGUGUGUUGCACCAUAUCUGAUUGUUUCCUAGCACUGUUUUAAAGCUACAAAUACAGCACCUAAAGUUCACCAAAUAAUAACUACAGUAUUGUAGUUUUCAUCCUUCACUCCAUGAUGAUUCAUCCCUUAGAAACAUCAAGCUAGGAAUAAGACAGUUUUCAUGCUUUUGAUCCCUGGUGGUAGAGUCCUGAUCAAUGAAACCUUCUUCUUCUGUGAUUUACAUGAUUAGGCGGGUAUGUUUUUGUGAGUACAAGCAUAUAGCCGUUAGGGCAAAGUACAAAAAAAUACCAUAUAAUUUGGCCCAUUUUCAAGUAAGUUCAAUUUUCAAGUAAGUUCAUGUUGUUUGGAUUUUGACAAAGGAGUACCCUGUGGUAACAUACGUUAACAAAUGAUGUCCAAAACUCCUAACGUCGUCCUACCCUAUAAACAUCGCCCGACCCUAUAAACAUCGCAUUAAUUAUCAAUUUAAAAAUUAAUUUUUCAAUUAGUAUGUGGUACCCAUAUUAAAUGGAU